UUUUUUUUUUUUUUUUUUUUUGUUCCGCUGCUUAAUGUAGGGAAGAAACGACGCUGGCAGAAAUUUACUCCAGCAUUCAAUUAAAUCUGGCUUUGAACCUGCUCAUUGUUCGAUCAUGUUAUAUGGGCUACCGUGACGUUUCUGCUUCCGUGAAAUAUAAGAAAACCCGAUAUUAGACAGGCUUUAGUUCUAGGUCAAAGGUCAGCAACUUUUUAUAUUCCAAAGAGACAUUUUUGCUCUGCUUCCUUCAAAUUAAAGUGUCCACAGUCACCUUUAGAACAAAAUAAUUGAUCAAGUUUUAUGAAUACAGGUUACAAAAAGUAUGUUUCUAUCAUUUAAAAAAAGUUAUGUUUUUAUACGAAUAGCAAACAAAACAAUGAAUCAGAGAGCUUUAUCGUGUAGCGGUAAUAAAAGAUUUGAACAGUAUUCUCACAGAUCACAACCUACCAUUCACUGGUUUUUCAGAGUACAUGUGUGUGUGGUGCGUGUAAUGCUCUAGAUCAGCCGUGUCAUUCGACCUUAUAUGGCCUGUUUCUUUAAAACCCACUCUGUUGUUGGCGCCCUGCCCAGAAAGUUUAUUUCCCUUUUCCCAUCCAGCCACAUGGACAGGGCUCCGUCACACACACACACACACACACACACAGAGAGAGAAAGAGAAAGAGAGAGAGAGAGAGAGCAGGAGUUUUCUCACUGAGAGCGCCGACUCCACCAGCAGCACCAGCAGCAGCACCAGCACCACCACCGGCCGGUUGAACAGGGAAUCCUCUAUCUUCCACCAAGUAGAUCUUCAUCCCGGUCGAUCUGUCACAACCUCAGAGGAGUGAGGUUGUGCCGCCACGCGAGAGACGUAUUGUAUUUUGACAACAAAGGCUCUUUUCACAAAUCUAUAAUUCCCCGCUGCCUGGUCAGCCAGCAGUAUGCAGUCCUUUGGAUGUGAACUGGAACACUCUUGCUUUUUUUUUUUUUUUUUAAAAGAAAGAAACAGAAGGAUCUGAAAGCAUUUCUGCCAGAAACCAGGGUUAUGGGAGACAGGUUGGAUGACCCGAGCGUGGGACUCAACAUCCGCCGAGUUGCUGUAGUAACCCAGGCGGGAUGUUUCUCCGUAAAACUUUCCCCGGUUUGUUGUUGUGUGGGAAGCAAAACUGCGGAGGCUCCAUGCCUGUUGCUGCUGAAGUUUGUGGAUUGUAAUUUUCCUGUGGAGAUGAGGUCACAGGCAGACACACCCUGAGACUCAGACUGGGCGCAGGAAAAAGGGCCGACUCUCUGCAGCGGCUUUCAAUGACUCACGAGCCCGGGGAGGAAGCAGUAGCCGUGGUGGAAUUUCCAUUCUGUUCGGAGCGGAGGAAUUUGGGCCUGGAUGCGGCUGCGUUUGAUGGAGGGAGUAACCUCACUGACACAAGCCAUGUGACAGCCCUUAGACUACAUAAUGAGCUUUUGGAUUUCACAACCUAUCCAACCCCCCAAAAAAUCAUGUGCUUCAAAUCCAUUCAUCAAAAUGAAAGACAUUGUUUUUUUUAUAUAUAUUUUCGUUCAGGAAUGUGUUUGGAAUGCAGCUCAUUUCCUCUUUCCCAAAAAGUUAGCUGUGCAAGAUUUGUUUAAAGGCCCACUUCCUGAUGUCUUCUUCCCAAACGUACACUUUUAGUUAGCCUUGUUUGAGCUGCAGCCUGGUUUCUAAAUAAAUGUUGAGUUGUUGGUAGCAACGCCGUGCUGUGAUCUGAAGUGAGUUCAGAUGUGCAGCUGUAGCCGGACAGGGAGAGCCGAGGCGGAAGUAGGAGGCGGAGGGGUCGGGGGCGGAUUGAGUCAACACAGGAUUGUUUCUCAGACUUUUCACUUCUGCUCUCAUGCCUCUCAAUGGACUCGCGUUUACCGGGGGGUGGGGGGAGGGGGGGUUUGCAGAUGGCGGCAGAUGGUCACGGUCCGGAUAAAAUGAAAUCAAAGUGUGAUUAAUGGAUAUUUUCUGCCUCUUGAUCAGGGACUCAUUGUGGUGAUUUACUCUUUUCAGGCCAACGAGGUCCUUUGUUUCCUCCUGAUCUGGAAGACACAUUUUGCAAUUUCCGGGCUGCAGAAAUACUGCAUGCAUUAGUGGAAAGUUAAACAAUUCCUUUUUUUUUUUUUACUUUACAUCCUUUGAUUUCUCACGCAGCUCAUGGCUGUUUAUGUCUGUUUUAUAAGUGGCAAAAGUAUUCAAACCCUUUUCGAUAUUUUAUCACAUUGCAACCUGGAUCAGAGUUUAGAAGGGGCUUAAAGAGGCAGUAGCCCAGGGUCUCAAGUUUUGGGGGGUGCCCCAUAUAUUUUUAUUUUUUAAUAAAUUCAUGUUUUGCAUUGUAAUUCGUAUAAGAGUUAUAUCAGGUGAGUUGUAAUAAUAUUCUGGGAUUUUUAUAUAAACAAUACUCAAGUAUUUGAAAAUUUUGACGUUAGAGUAUUUUUUUUAAGGUGUGGGGGAAACGUGGCGCUACUAGCAAAGGAACGUCAUCAGUUGGUAUAUUAAAUUAUGUAUAGUUUUACCUGUUUAUGUACUGUAUUUUGCUUUUGCAAAAUAAUUUUACUUUAGUGGGAAGGGGACCACAUCAUGUAAAUCCAGCCCUGGUUUCAACCACUAAGGAUAUUUUAUUUUUUAUUUAUAUCUGCAGAAGCACUGCCCUGCAUGUAGCUCCAUUUAGAUCAACAACUCGGAAUGGCUUCCCUGUGUACUACAACAUUUUAAAAUGGCAAAGAAAUCACUUUAUUCUCAGAAAAUUAAUAAAAAUUUCACUGUAUAAGAACAGACUAAAAUGUAAGAUGAAAAGUGUGAUAUAUAUUGCAAAAAAUAUGAUCGUAUGAAGUGUUGUCCCUUUUGAAUAACUAAUGGGGAUAUUCAAAGGAAAUAUUAAACAUUAUUCUGAUGUUUAAGUCUUGUUUUCAGAUGGUUACUUACAGUGUAAUAUGUUUUUUUUUUAUUUAUGGACUGCCAUUCCUUGACAUCUGCAGACACAGAUUUGUAAUUAACAUCAGUGUGUGAUGAGCUGACAGCUGUGUGUGAGAUAAUCCGGGUGGCAAAAACCCACAUUCCUCUCCUUUCAUCUGAACUCAAAACAUCAAGAUUAGAAACCAAUUUUUAACUGGGAACCAAAUACCUGAAACAUGCAUCAUGCAUAGCCUCUCCGGUCGUCAUUAUCUGAUGCUGGUUAAAAAUAAAACUACACAGCUGUUUUGUGACAACAACGGCAGACAUAAGGCCAUCGUGAUCAGGGCUGCACAUCAACACUGUCUAUUCAUUAUAAUGACUUGAGAAACUGGCAGCAUUUCCUUUCGUUUACCUUUAACCCUUAGCAGAACUGUGGUCAGAACAGUGGAAGAGUAUUCAAAAGUUGCUCUUCUCUCUCUGUGUGUGUGUGUGUGUGUUGUUUGUACUUGCAAAUAAGUCUUUCCACUGGACUCUGGUUUUAGCCAACCGGCUUAAAUUUAGAAAAACAAAUCUUCAAAUCCACAUAGAUGGCAGUCAGACAGAAGUACUGAGCUUGAAACACUUCAGAAGCUUUGCCACUUUUUAGGGUGAAAUAGUUACGUUUUUUUUUUCUUUUGCUUCAGGUGGACAACAUGCAUCCAUGGUUAGUUUAUACUACACUCUUCCUAAAACCACGGAUUAAUUUAAAAGCUGCAGUAAAUAACUUAUGAAAAAUGUUUUUAAUACAUUUGUCAAAACUGUCACUAAGUGGUGACAACAUAUUAUGAGAGAUAAUCUGUAAAAAAA